rnacentral:lncRNA from 1 species
UGUUCGCUGGUCAAGCCCUUCUCUGACUUGCUCUGCCAGACCAACAUCACUAAAACAGACGAAGCCUUCUUUGACACAGAGGACAACAUUGAGAAGAGCUGCCGCUGCUGGAGUACAUACUGGACUGCCUCCAUAAGAUCUGCCUGUACGACACAAAGCACUUCGUCAGCACGGAGAGCGCCAAUGCCCUCAUGACCCCUCUGGUCGAUCAGUUGAACACCCUAGGUGGAGAAGAGGUUUACCAUACCAGAGUCACCAAGCACCUGGUGCUGUGCGUGGGCCACUUCUGCUUUGCCGUAGUAGACGACACUCGGUGGUAGACCCUCAACUACAAGAUCCUGCUGAAGACACGACACAGCUCGGCCAAGACCACGAUUAGCUGGUGUGUUAGAGCUGGAUCGGCACAAAAACCCACCUGCAGCUCUCCAGGACCAGGAGUGAUCAUCCAGUGACUGUAUUGUCGUCGUC